rnacentral:tRNA from 1 species
UCCCUGAUAGCUCAGUUGAUAAAGUAUCCGCCUGCAACGUGGGAGACCUGGGUUCAAUCCCGAGGUUGGGAA